UACGUAGGGGGCAAGCGUUGUUCGGAAUUACUGGGCGUAAAGCGCGUGUAGGCUGUUCGGAAAGUCGGGUGUGAAAGCCCUGGGCUCAACCUAGGAAGUGCACUCGAAACUCCCGAACUGGAGUCCCGGAGAGGAAGGCGGAAUUCUCGGUGUAGAGGUGAAAUUCGUAGAUAUCGAGAGGAACAUCGGUGGCGAAGGCGGCCUUCUGGACGGUGACUGACGCUGAGACGCGAAAGCGUGGGGAGCAAACAGG
rnacentral:rRNA from 1 species